UUUAAUGGAGAGUUUGAUCCUGGCUCAGGACGAACGCUGGCGGCGUGCCUAAUACAUGCAAGUCGAGCGAGGGUCUUCGGACCCUAGCGGCGGACGGGUGAGUAACACGUAGGCAACCUGCCUGUGAGACUGGGAUAACAUAGGGAAACUUAUGCUAAUACCGGAUAGGGUUUUGCUUCGCCUGAAGCGAAACGGAAAGAUGGCGCAAGCUAUCACUU
rnacentral:rRNA from 1 species